rnacentral:rRNA from 1 species
UAAUACGAAGGGUGCAAGCGUUACUCGGAAUUACUGGGCGUAAAGCGUGCGUAGGUGGUUCGUUAAGUCUGAUGUGAAAGCCCUGGGCUCAACCUGGGAAUUGCAUUGGAAACUGGCGGGCUAGAGUACGGUAGAGGGUAGUGGAAUUCCUGGUGUAGCAGUGAAAUGCGUAGAGAUCAGGAGGAACACCCGUGGCGAAGGCGACUACCUGGACCAGUACUGACACUGAGGCACGAAAGCGUGGGGAGCAAACAGG